rnacentral:rRNA from 1 species
AUUGAACGCUGGCGGCAUGCCUUACACAUGCAAGUCGAACGGCAGCACGGAGCUUGCUCUGGUGGCGAGUGGCGAACGGGUGAGUAAUAUAUCGGAACGUACCCUAGAGUGGGGGAUAACGUAGCGAAAGUUACGCUAAUACCGCAUACGAUCUAAGGAUGAAAGUGGGGGAUCGCAAGACCUCAUGCUCGUGGAGCGGCCGAUAUCUGAUUAGCUAGUUGGUAGGGUAAAAGCCUACCAAGGCAUCGAUCAGUAGCUGGUCUGAGAGGACGACCAGCCACACUGGAACUGAGACACGGUCCAGACUCCUACGGGAGGCAGCAGUGGGGAAUUUUGGACAAUGGGCGAAAGCCUGAUCCAGCAAUGCCGCGUGAGUGAAGAAGGCCUUCGGGUUGUAAAGCUCUUUUGUCAGGGAAGAAACGGUGAGAGCUAAUAUCUCUUGCUAAUGACGGUACCUGAAGAAUAAGCACCGGCUAACUACGUGCCAGCAGCCGCGGUAAUACGUAGGGUGCAAGCGUUAAUCGGAAUUACUGGGCGUAAAGCGUGCGCAGGCGGUUUUGUAAGUCUGAUGUGAAAUCCCCGGGCUCAACCUGGGAAUUGCAUUGGAGACUGCAAGGCUAGAAUCUGGCAGAGGGGGGUAGAAUUCCACGUGUAGCAGUGAAAUGCGUAGAUAUGUGGAGGAACACCGAUGGCGAAGGCAGCCCCCUGGGUCAAGAUUGACGCUCAUGCACGAAAGCGUGGGGAGCAAACAGGAUUAGAUACCCUGGUAGUCCACGCCCUAAACGAUGUCUACUAGUUGUCGGGUCUUAAUUGACUUGGUAACGCAGCUAACGCGUGAAGUAGACCGCCUGGGGAGUACGGUCGCAAGAUUAAAACUCAAAGGAAUUGACGGGGACCCGCACAAGCGGUGGAUGAUGUGGAUUAAUUCGAUGCAACGCGAAAAACCUUACCUACCCUUGACAUGGCUGGAAUCCCCGAGAGAUUGGGGAGUGCUCGAAAGAGAACCAGUACACAGGUGCUGCAUGGCUGUCGUCAGCUCGUGUCGUGAGAUGUUGGGUUAAGUCCCGCAACGAGCGCAACCCUUGUCAUUAGUUGCUACGAAAGGGCACUCUAAUGAGACUGCCGGUGACAAACCGGAGGAAGGUGGGGAUGACGUCAAGUCCUCAUGGCCCUUAUGGGUAGGGCUUCACACGUCAUACAAUGGUACAUACAGAGCGCCGCCAACCCGCGAGGGGGAGCUAAUCGCAGAAAGUGUAUCGUAGUCCGGAUUGUAGUCUGCAACUCGACUGCAUGAAGUUGGAAUCGCUAGUAAUCGCGGAUCAGCAUGUCGCGGUGAAUACGUUCCCGGGUCU